rnacentral:rRNA from 1 species
UACGUAGGGACCGAGCGUUGUCCGGAUUCAUUGGGCGUAAAGAGCUCGUAGGCGGUCUGUCGCGUCUGCUGUGAAAAUCCAGGGCUCAACCCUGGACCUGCAGUGGGUACGGGCAGACUAGAGUGCGGUAGGGGAGAUCGGAAUUCCUGGUGUAGCGGUGAAAUGCGCAGAUAUCAGGAGGAACACCGGUGGCGAAGGCGGAUCUCUGGGCCGUAACUGACGCUGAGGAGCGAAAGCAUGGGGAGCGAACAGG